UGGGGAAUCUUCCGCAAUGGACGAAAGUCUGACGGAGCAACGCCGCGUGAGUGAAGAAGGUUUUCGGAUCGUAAAACUCUGUCUUUUGGGGCGAACGUGAGUAUGGUGAACAAUCAUAGUCAGUGACGGUACCAAAGGAGGAAGCCACGGCUAACUACGUGCCAGCAGCCGCGGUAAUACGUAGGUGGCAAGCGUUGUCCGGAAUUAUUGGGCGUAAAGAGCGCGUAGGCGGGAUAGUCAGUCUGUUGUAAAGUGCGGGGCUCAACCCCGUGAUGGCAAUGGAAACAGCUAUUCUUGAGUGCAGGAGAGGAAAGUGGAAUUCCCAGUGUAGCGGUGAAAUGCGUAGAUAUUGGGAGGAACACCAGUGGCGAAGGCGACUUUCUGGACUGUGUCUGACGCUGAGGCGCGAAAGCCAGGGGAGCGAACGGGAUUAGAUACCCCGGUAGUCCUGGCCGUAAACGAUGGGUACUAGGUGUGGGAGGUAUCGACCCCCUUCCGUGCCGGAGUUAACGCAAUAAGUACCCCGCUGGGGAGUACGGUCGCAAGACUGAAACUCAAAUGAAUUGAC
rnacentral:rRNA from 1 species